rnacentral:rRNA from 1 species
UACGAAGGAUCCAAGCGUUAUCCGGAUUCAUUGGGUUUAAAGGGUGCGUAGGCGGACUUGUAAGUCAGUGGUGAAAUCCCAUCGCUUAACGAUGGAACUGCCAUUGAUACUGCAAGUCUUGAGUACAGAUGAUGUUGGCGGAAUAUGACGUGUAGCGGUGAAAUGCUUAGAUAUGUCAUAGAACACCGAUUGCGAAGGCAGCUGACAAAACUGUAACUGACGCUGAGGCACGAAAGUGCGGGGAUCAAACAGG